rnacentral:rRNA from 1 species
GUCUGCGGCCAUACCACCCUGAACGCGCCCGAUCUCGUCUGAUCUCGGAAGCUAAGCAGGGUCGGGCCUGGUUAGUACUUGGAUGGGAGACCGCCGGGGAAUACCGGGUGCUGUAGGCU